CGCUCGAAGCGCGUCGUGGUAUUUCGCGUAUUGUAAUUUCAACACGAGCGGGGUCAAAUCCUUUGCAGACGACUUAGCUGUGCGAAACGGUCCUGUAAGCAGUAGAGUAGCCUUGUUGUUACGAUCUGCUGAGGGUAAGCCGUCCUUCGCCUCGAUUUCCCCAAUGGGUUCUCCGGAUUUCUGGAGACUUGUAGGGGUUGUGGGCUUUUUUCGAUGUGUCGUCUCUGGACGGGCGGUGCAGGGUAGUCGAGUUGGACUUGGUGGAAUUUCAUUCCGUCGAGUCUGGCGGGACUUUGUGCGGCUGUGUGCUGGACGGUGCAGGGUAGGCUGCUUGGUCUUGGUCGAUUUGAGGAUCGAUUCGAGGGCUGGGCGCUGGUAGCUUGAGGUGUAUGCGGUCUAGGGUAGGCUGGUUUGUCUUGGUCGAAUUUGAUGUUGGCUUCCGUGCGGACCAGAUCGAGCGUGGUACAGGUUAGGUACAGGGUAG
rnacentral:rRNA from 1 species